GAUGAACGCUGGCGGCGUGCCUAAUACAUGCCAGUCGAGCGAACGGACGAGAAGCUUGCUUUUCUGAUGUUAGCGGCGGACGGGUGAGUAACACGUGGAUAACCUACCUAUAAGACUGGGAUAACUUCGGGAAACCGGAGCUAAUACCGGAUAAUAUUUUGAACCGCAUGGUUCAAAAGUGAAAGACGGUCUUGCUGUCACUUAUAGAUGGAUCCGCGCUGCAUUAGCUAGUUGGUAAGGUAACGGCUUACCAAGGCAACGAUGCAUAGCCGACCUGAGAGGGUGAUCGGCCACACUGGAACUGAGACACGGUCCAGACUCCUACGGGAGGCAGCAGUAGGGAAUCUUCCGCAAUGGGCGAAAGCCUGACGGAGCAACGCCGCGUGAGUGAUGAAGGUCUUCGGAUCGUAAAACUCUGUUAUUAGGGAAGAACAUAUAUGUAAGUAACUGUGCACAUCUUGACGGUACCUAAUCAGAAAGCCACGGCUAACUACGUG
rnacentral:rRNA from 1 species